GACGAACGCUGGCGGCGUGCUUAACACAUGCAAGUCGAGCGGUAAGGCCCUUUCGGGGGUACACGAGCGGCGAACGGGUGAGUAACACGUGGGUGACCUGCCCUCAGCUCUGGGAUAAGCCUGGGAAACCGGGUCUAAUACUGGAUAUGACUCCAUGACGCAUGUUGUGGGGUGGAAAGCCUUGUGCGGCUGAGGAUGGGCCCGCGGCCUAUCAGCUUGUUGGUGGGGUGANGGCCUACCAAGGCGACGACGGGUAGCCGGCCUGAGAGGGCGACCGGCCACACUGGGACUGAGACACGGCCCAGACUCCUACGGGAGGCAGCAGUGGGGAAUCUUACGCAAUGGGCGAAAGCCUGACGCAGCGACGCCGCGUGA
rnacentral:rRNA from 1 species